CAAGCUUUUUUACAAACAGUUAUAAAGGACAACAGUGGGAAAACACAAAAUUAUCUAUAUCUUAAAUCUAGACAUUUUUCAGACGUUUAUAAGAAAAAUAAUAUAAAAAUGCAAGGAAAGGGAUGAAUAGAUUGUCUCAGUAUCAUUCCUCCAUGUCCCCUGUAUCCCCUGUAUCCCCUCCUCCCUCCCUGCCUAGGAAAGGUAUCCUAGUAUCCUCUCCUUCCUCUCUCCUUCAACCCUUCAACCUUAACUCAGGGCCUCAAUCUUUACCCUGGUCUGGAGUUUCAGUAGGUUCUAAGUCCGAGUUUAACUCUGUAACGUUCAAGGAGAACAGUUUAACCUGGGAGAAGAAAAUACCCAGGUUGGAUCCAUGGAGGAGAGAGGAGAAGGAGAUAGUUCCCAGGUUGGAGCAAAUCAGAGUUACAGAUAAAUCGAAUCGGUUCCACAGUGAUACAAGCAACCCGGAGCAGAAGAUAAAAUCAGAGUAUGUCGGGUUGGAUGAGAAGAGAAAGAAGGGGCUCCGGGUACCCUGGUACACUGCACUGGAUGAAGAUAUCUCAGACCAGGGGAGUAGGUUCUCUGAUUCCCGGGGUGGAAGAGGAGGAGGAGGAGAAGGAGGAGACCAAGAUAAACCUAGGACCCGUCGUGUACUCAGAAACCAGGGUAUAGACGGAGAAAGAGUAGGACGUCUGGCAAGUUUAAGUAUUGCAGAUAUGUCUCCGAAACUUGCUCUUCAGAGGAUACUCACCCUCUGGCAGCGGAGACAGUAUAGAGAAGCCGCGGCAUUUCUCAGGCGUCUCUCCCUUGCAACCUUUAAGCAGGUUUCUUCCUCUCUCCCUACAGAACAUUUUGUAGACUGUCUCCCGCACUCUUUACCCAUCCUGGAGGCUUAUUAUUCUAAACUAUUCCUAGCAGGAGGACAGAAGAGUAGGACGAGUGCUCAGGUGUCCCCGGAGACUGUAGUCUGGCAGCUUGUCAAGUUCUUCGCCAGUCAGGAGGAUCAAACCCUAGUCUCCAGGGAGGGCAGAUGGGAGUUCUGUGGUCCGUUCAUGAAUACCUGUAAACGUCUUCUCUCAGUCCUCAUCUCAGUAGAUCCUAAUAUACGGAGAAUAGUUGGGGAGAGAAAAAAGAUUUUGACGAGAACUAUAGAAGGAUUAGGACAGCAUGGUAUGGUUGGAACCUCAGACCAAUCUCUGAUGAACCUCCAUGAUGCGCUCAGAAUAGAACUACAGAAGGUGAAAGACCAGUUCUCCAGUGCGCUGAGUAAACUUGAUGAGCUCGCUUUAUCAGGGAAGGAACCGGUCACGAAUUCAGGUUCAUGUAAGGUUCCGGUUCUAUCAGGUCAUCAGAGACAGCUUUCACUUCAUCUUGUACAGGUUCAGGAGAGAUUGAUAAAGAACAAGUCUCUGCUGACUACAGUUGAACCUGCUGUUUCCUCAACUAGUCUAGAGGUACUACUGGGUAUACUGGAGCGAAGGGUUCAGCUGGAUAAGGAGGUAAUGUUCCAGUUUACAAGCAUCAAGAGAGAAACAAGCCUAGUUGGGAACCUGGAGUCAGACCCUGCAGUUGCUCCGAUACUCAUGAAGUUCCAACGAGGUUGUCACCAGGUUUUGGAACUUAUCCGCGAAAUCAAGGAGGAGGAAGAGGAGGUUGCUGAACCUGGGAGUGAUAUCUCCGGGUACCAUUCAGAUUCAGACUCUGCGAUCAUGAUGUCUGGAAACUCUCCGUUCGUUUCUAAAAAUGCAAGAUCUAACUUUUUGUUAAGAUCAGUGCGCGUAGGGAGCAAGGAUAAACCUCUGAUUAGUAUAAAAGAGGAACCUGGAUAUCUCUCCUCAUCUAGUGGGUUCUCCUCCCUCCCACCCUCCGCCUCUUUAAACCCUUCUCCUUCCACCUCCUCGGCUUCUCCGCCCAGCUCCUCCUCCAGUAUGCAGGAUAGUGAUAGUAGUGAGGGGGCAGAGAUUAAGAAGGAUACCUUGAGGUUUACUGGGAGAGGGAAGGUUAAGCGAGGAACGGGUGGAGGAGUGCAGUGUUUGAAGUGCGAGGACGGAGAAGCAGAAUCCUUGAGGAUUGAGGUUGAGAGGUUGAAGAAUGAGCUAACCGCUACCCGACAAACCAUUGUGAGGAUGCAUGAACGAGAAGACAGAGUUAAACAGAGGAUAAUAGAUAUGCAACUAAAGGAGGAAGAUAUUAGUAUUUCUUCAACUGGGAGCCAGGUUUAUUUAUCCGCGACCCACGGAGUAAGACUGGUUGCCAAGUAUGGAGAACUGUAUAGUAGAACCCGACUCCGAACCCUGGCAAGCCUAGACGCACUCCCUGAGCUCUCCUCUGCCGGAGAACUGAAGAAUAAACUUCUCUUCUCUGUUGUAGUUCUAGCUUUCCGUUCUGUCAAGCAGACAAUAAGUUCUACCAAACUUCAGAUUAAGAAAACACUAAAUGUUCCUCCUGGUACUGAGUUGGAUCCAGCAACAAAGGAUCUGAACUCCUGUAUUGAUAGAUUUCUCUGCUCAGGAUAUCAAUCCUCAGGCUUCAGACAAAUGUGCGAUGAAGUUAUGAAUCAAAUUUGUUCGACAUUAUUUGAUUACCCUGGGAUACGACACUGUGAACAAUUAUCCAAUUAUAUCAGAGAAACUGUCUCCGUAGCCUGGCAACUCAGUACUCAUAAACCUGCAUACUAUAUUGAAUAUGAGGAGAGAACCUUCCUACCGGACUUGAUGGUUAGGACGGGAGAGAGAAGAGAAGGGAGUAGAGUCUCCACAUAUAUCUGGCCAGCUCUACGGGAAGGAGAUGGCGAUCUAGUUUAUAAAGCAGUUGUGGUAACCACACAGUAAUAUACUGUGGUCAACCAACCAUGACAAUUAUCUGCAUCAGAAAGACGUGGUUACCACACUAUUUAGUUGUGGUUACCACACUAUUUAGUUGUGGUUACCACACUAUUUAGUUGUGGUUACCACACAAUUAUGUUGUAGUGGUUACCACACAAUCAUGUAAUAGUGGUUACCACAUAAUCAUGUAGUAGUGGUUACCACAUAAUCAUGUAGCAGUGGUUACCACAGAGUCAUGUAGUAGUGGUUACCACAUAAUCAUGCAAUAGUGGUUACCACAUAAUCAUGUAGUAGUGGUUACCACAAUUAUGUGGUUAACACAAUUAUUUAGUUGUGGUAAAAACACAGCACUAAGCCAAAACAUUCCACAAUAUGAAGAGUUGAAGCUCAAUAUCAAUAUAUCCAUAUAGUAGUGGGAACUCAAUACUAUCCGGUUUUUAAUAUUAGAGACAUUGAUAUGAACCAGUUUGUGGUACGUUAAGUACCUAGAAAUAUGGUGGAAUAAAACCCAGUUUUGAAAAUAUAAACAUUAAAUCUAGUCGAAAUAAUAUUACCUAGUCAAAACAUUGGCUUUUACAGCUAUCUACCAAGGACCACCGAGCUCUAAAGGAUUAAUUUUUGAUGUUAGUCGCCCUUUGGAAAAGUAACUAAAACCUAAUUUAUUGUGGGCUCAUAUUGGAGAUUUGAAUACAGUUUAUUUUAAGACAAUUAAAUACGAUUCCAGGAUCGGAAAAUUAAAAAACUUCUGGAAUAUUUUAUUUGGUUUUUAUAUAAGCAGAUGUUUUUUAAUGAAAAUUAUA
rnacentral:misc_RNA from 1 species